AAUAUCAAAUAAUGCUGCAAAGGCAAAAAUAAUAAAAAAAAAAAACAAACAAUAAAUUAAUAACUUGCUGAGAUCAAAGGAUUGGCGAGGGAAACUGGGUUUCUUGCCCCCUUCAUCAUGCGCCGCUGCCUUUGCUCGCUGCUGCGACGUCGCUCGCGUUCGCCUCAUAAAUUAAAUGCAAACAAAAUUUAAUUUACCAGACGACCCGCCAGGUCAAACAGUCGACAAAGGUUCGACGAAAAUACUAUGCAGGCAAAGCCCAGAUAGGCAAACUCAGCUCAGCUCAGCUCGAUGCAGGAAAACAAAAGCGAGAAAGCAACAGUUAAAUGAGGAAAUCUAAAUGGAAAUUUCAAAUGUGUGUUUCAAAUGGGCAAAUUACAACAACAAUAACAAAGCAGCCAAGCACACACCCACACACAUA